UUAAUGUUUUGUAUUGAUUCAGACACAAACUAUUCUGCAUAAAUGCGGCGCCGGAGCGCCGAAGCACAUUUUGCUUCCACAGGUUUGAAGGUUGAAGGCCUCAUUGGCCAUUCAGUAAUGAUCCCUCCGCAGGUUCACCUACGGAGA
rnacentral:misc_RNA from 1 species